UGUGUUUCCUGAGCAUUUCCUAGCUCUCAGCACAGUGCUCUCUACACAGUAAGUGCUCAGUAAAUAUCACUACUUGAUUGAAGAGCAGCCUGGCUUAGUGGGUAGAGCACGAACCUGGGUGUCAGAAGGACCUGGUUCUAAUCCCAGCUCCACCACGUGUCUGCUGUGUGACCUUGAGCAAGUCACAUAACUUCUCUGGGUCUCACUUACCUUAUCUGUAAAAUGGGGAUUAAGAGUAUGAGGUUCAUGUGGGACAGGGACUCUGUCCGAUCUGAUUAACUUCUAUCUACCCCAGGGCUUAGAACAUUGCUUGGCACAUAGUGUUUAACAAGUAACAUUAUUAUUAUUAUUUUUGAUAGAGGCCCUCCAGCGGUGAACAAGGAGUCCCUGGAAAGGAGAUAGAGAGCCCCCCAACUAUGGCAUUCAGGAGGAAGAGGAGAGAGAGAAGGCAGGAGCUUCCUGGAAAGCUUGGAUUUGAGCACAGACCUGGAUCCAGUGAUGUUGUUGUUAUCCAACCCGGCCCGGGAAAGGGGCUAACGGAGGAUGAGACCGGUCUCGGGGGGCGAGAGCAGGGUAGGCCCCUGAGGGUGCUCCAGGGCUGCGGCCCAGGUGCGACCACCUGGCAGUCAG
rnacentral:lncRNA from 1 species